rnacentral:lncRNA from 1 species
GUACAAUUUAUGAAAUUACAGGUCCCAACUUAUAAUUUUAGAUCGAGAGUUAGUUUGCAAAUGGUGCUGAUGAAGUGGUGCGGCUUUUGUGUGGUACCAAGGGUGGUGGAGUAGGGUAGGACGAAGAGCAUUUGUGACUAGUAAGAUGUUAACAUAAUUAUAAACAUAAUUAUAUGGUAUUGUGAUCUUGGCUUGUUAUUGUAAUCGUGGCCUAUUAAAUGCAUUACUUGAUAUUUGAAGCAUUUUCAUCAGUUUCUUAUUUUUUUAAAGUGUAUCUUGGAACCUUUGUAAUUAUAUGUAUUUUUCCCUUCAUUGUAGGUUGAAAUUUCUAAACCCGAUUGUAAUAUUUGAAACAAGGAAGUAAUUCACAAAUAUAUUUACGAAGUUUAUUUUAUACUUAUUUUUAAUUUUUUUUCUCAAAAUAUUAUUUUUCUUAUGGGUUAAUUUCACAAACCGUCACUAAACUUCCUUGAAAAUUACAAAACGGUCACUAAAUAUUAAAACUUACAGAAACGGUCAUUGAACUUUAGAGCGCUUUCAAAAACGGUUACUAAAGUUUACAAACUUGCAGAAAUGGUCAUCCAAAAUUUUCAAAUUUUUUGGCGAGGUUUGAGGCAAAUUUCCUACAACCUCCGACCACCAAGACCGUCGAAUUUGGAUACCGUUGGAAAGCCCACAUGUCUUCUUCAAUUACCACCCAAAAUCUCUCCAUAACUCCAAAGGAUUGGACCAAAAUAAGCGCACAAAGUAUGCUCCCCGAAGUCGAAAAAUCAACCCAGAUUUUUCAGAUUUUUGGGCGAGAUUUGCAGUCAUUUUUCGGUAACUUUCGACCACCAAGAUCGUCGAAUUUGGAUACCAUUGAAAAGUCCAUAAUAUCCUCUUCCAUAAUAUCCUCUUCAAUUACCACCCAAAAUCUCCCCAUAACCCCAAAUGAUUCGUUAGGAAAAAGCCCACAAAGUCAGUUCCUCAAAAUCUGAAAAAAUUAAAGAGAACAUUGUGGGCUUUCCAAUGAUAUCCAAAUUAGACGGUCUUGGUGGUUGGAAGUUGCCGGAAAAUUGCGCAAAUCUCACCCAAAAAUCUAAAAAAUCUAGCUUAAUUUUUCAAUUGCGGGAGCUCAUUUUGUGAGCUUAUUCUGACCGAAUCCUUUGGAGUUAUGGGGAGAUUUUGGAUGGUAAUUGAAGAGGACAUUGUGGAUUUUCUAAUAGUAUCCAAAUUCAACGGUCUUGGUGGUCGGAGGUUUCCGUAAAUCUCAUCCAAAAAUAUGAAAAAUCUGAGCAAAUUUUUCAGAUUUUGGGGAGCUGAAUUUGUGGGCUUAUUCCGGUUGAAUCUUAUGGAGUCAUAGGGAGAUUUUGGAUGAUAAUUGAAGAGGACAUUGUGAACUUUUCAACGAUAUCCAAAUCUGGUAGUCUCGGUGGUCGAAAGCUGUCGCAAAAUUAUCGCAAAAUUCAUCCAAAAAUCUGAAAAAUUUGGGUAGAUUUCAGGGAACUGAAUUUGUGGACUUAUUCCGGUCGAAUCCUUUGGAGUUAUGAGGAGAUUUUGGAUGAUAAUUGAAGAGGACAUUGUGUGCUUUUAAACGAUAUACAAAUUCAACGAUCUUGGUGGUUGGAAGUUGUCAAAAAUUUGCUGCAAAUGUUGUCUAAGAAUCUGAAAAUUUUGGGUGGUCGUUUCUGUAAGUUUAUAAACUUCAGUGACCGUUUCUAAAAGCGCUCUAAACUUUAGUGACUGUUUCUGCUAGUUUUUAAACUUCAGUGACCGUUUUGUAUUUUUCAGGUAAGUUCAGUGAACGUUUGUGAAAUUAAUCCUUUUUCUUAUUAAUUUUUUAUUUUUUCUUAUGAAUUUUGUAAAAA